rnacentral:rRNA from 1 species
UACAGGGGGUGCAAGCGUUAAUCGGAAUUACUGGGCGUAAAGCGUGCGUAGACGGUUACAUAAGUCGGGUGUGAAAGCCCCGGGGCUCAACCUGGGAAUUGCAUUCGAGACUGCGUAGCUAGGGUGCGGAAGAGGGAAGCGGAAUUUCCGGUGUAGCGGUGAAAUGCGUAGAUAUCGGAAGGAACACCAGUGGCGAAAGCGGCUUCCUGGUCCAGCACCGACGUUCAGGCACGAAAGCGUGGGGAGCAAAC